AGUCCUAUGCUAUGUCACAAGCCCAGUUGUUAAAUUUGCAAUUUCAGUUCUUAGAACUUUAUUCUCUACUUUCACUUUCUCUUUUGUCUUUCUUUUUAUUUUUUGCAAGUUCCACCAAUAGGAUUUCUUGGAAAGGAAAUCAUAAUCAGCACGUGUCUUCUUCUUUCUUUUGAUGGCUAUCCUAUUUAUUAUUUUACGACUAGGACUCUUAGUAGAGGAAUUGGGUUUUUCUAUCCCUUGGGGGAGUAUUUUUCUUUUAGUUGCAUUUGAGGUCUUGUGUCAAUUUCUCAUUUCUUGAAGGUUCAACUUCUGCCUCUAUUAUCCACCUUUUCCCCUUCAUGUGCCUUUUUAUCAAUGUUUUCCUUCACCAUCAAUAAAUUCUACAGUAACUGAUUCAUCAUGUACCCCAUACUUUGUUGUUCCCAUUUUGCUAUCCUGAAGAACUUCAACAAUUGCAACAAGAAAAUUUCUCUUCGUUCUCUUGAUCAUAGAUGCAUAUGGUUGAUUUGUUGAGACAGUUCGUGAUUUAUUCUGUGGUGGUUUUGGUAAGCAAUUGUGAAGUUGGCAUUGUCGAGCCUUUUCAAUUAGAAGAUGGAGUUUCUUGAUUUUAGAGGGUUUCCUUGCCUAAAUGUUUUAGAAGAGAUGUGAAUGAGAGAAUAUCGAAGAGGCUGAGUAUUUAAAGGGUGAUUUGAAUAUGAAAUAGACUAUGAUUUGAUAGUUUGAGUAUAAUUAAGAAGAUUUCAAAUCUUGUUCCCCCCGCCCCCUUGAUAAUUUGAACAUUGGAUGAUUAAGAGGGUUUUAUGGUGGCUUGUGAUUUUA